GAACGCUGAAGCCUGGUGCUUGCACCGGGUGGAUGAGUGGCGAACGGGUGAGUAACACGUGAGUAACCUGCCCCUGACUUCGGGAUAAGCCCGGGAAACUGGGUCUAAUACCGGAUACCACUGCCGGACGCAUGUCUGGUGGUGGAAAGUUUUUUCGGUUGGGGAUGGGCUCGCGGCCUAUCAUUUUGUUGGUGAGGUAAUGGCUCACCAAGACGACCACUGGUAGCCGGCCUGAGAGGGCGACCGGCCACACUGGGACUGAGACACGGCCCACACUCCUACGGGAGGCAGCAGUGGGGAAUAUUGCACAAUGGGGGAAACCCUGAUGCAGCGACGCAGCGUGCGGGAUGACGGCCUUCGGGUUGUAAACCGCUUUCAGCAGGGAAGAAGCGCAAGUGACGGUACCUGCAGAAGAAGUACCGGCUAACUACGUGCCAGCAGCCGCGGUAAUACGUAGGGUACGAGCGUUGUCCGGAAUUAUUGGGCGUAAAGAGCUCGUAGGUGGUUGGUCACGUCUGCUGUGGAAACGCAACGCUUAACGUUGCGCGUGCAGUGGGUACGGGCUGACUAGAGUGCAGUAGGGGAGUCUGGAAUUCCUGGUG
rnacentral:rRNA from 1 species